rnacentral:tRNA from 1 species
GCUGAGGUACAGUUCAGUGGUAGAACACUUGUCUUACAUGCAAGAUUCUAGGUUCAUCUUCAGUA